rnacentral:rRNA from 1 species
CUACCAUGCAGUCGAGCGGAUGACGGGAGCUUGCUCCUUGAUUCAGCGGCGGACGGGUGAGUAAUGCCUAGGAAUCUGCCUGGUAGUGGGGGACAACGUUUCGAAAGGAACGCUAAUACCGCAUACGUCCUACGGGAGAAAGCAGGGGACCUUCGGGCCUUGCGCUAUCAGAUGAGCCUAGGUCGGAUUAGCUAGUUGGUGGGGUAAUGGCUCACCAAGGCGACGAUCCGUAACUGGUCUGAGAGGAUGAUCAGUCACACUGGAACUGAGACACGGUCCAGACUCCUACGGGAGGCAGCAGUGGGGAAUAUUGGACAAUGGGCGAAAGCCUGAUCCAGCCAUGCCGCGUGUGUGAAGAAGUCUUCGGAUUGUAAAGCACUUUAAGUUGGGAGGAGGGCAGUAAGUAAUACCUUG